rnacentral:rRNA from 1 species
CAGUAGCCGCGGUAAGACGGAGGGUGCGAGCGUUAAUCGGAUUUACUGGGCGUAAAGCGUGCGUAGGCGGCUUUUUAAGUCGGAUGUGAAAUCCCUGAGCUUAACUUAGGAAUUGCAUUCGAUACUGGGAAGCUAGAGUAUGGGAGAGGAUGGUAGAAUUCCAGGUGUAGCGGUGAAAUGCGUAGAGAUCUGGAGGAAUACCGAUGGCGAAGGCAGCCAUCUGGCCUAAUACUGACGCUGAGGUACGAAAGCAUGGGGAGCAAACAGGAUUAGAUACCCCAGUAGUCCCUGUCUCUUAUAA